rnacentral:rRNA from 1 species
UACGUAGGUGGCAAGCGUUGUCCGGAAUUAUUGGGCGUAAAGCGCGCGCAGGCGGUCCUUUAAGUCUGAUGUGAAAGCCCACGGCUCAACCGUGGAGGGUCAUUGGAAACUGGGGGACUUGAGUACAGAAGAGGAAAGCGGAAUUCCACGUGUAGCGGUGAAAUGCGUAGAGAUGUGGAGGAACACCAGUGGCGAAGGCGGCUUUCUGGUCCAGCACCGACGUUCAGGCACGAAAGCGUGGGGAGCAAACAGG